rnacentral:rRNA from 1 species
GAUGAAUGCUGGCGGCGUGCUUAACACAUGCAAGUCGAACGAUGAACCCGGAGCUUGCUCCGGCGGAUUAGUGGCGAACGGGUGAGUAACACGUGAGUAACCUGCCCUUGACUCUGGGAUAACUGCGGGAAACUGUAGCUAAUACCGGAUACGACCCUCGGCGGCAUCGCCAGGGGGUGGAAAGAAUUUCGGUCAAGGAUGGACUCGCGGCCUAUCAGCUUGUUGGUGGGGGGAUGGCCUACCAAGGCGACGACGGGUAGCCGGCCUGAGAGGGUGACCGGCCACACUGGGACUGAGAUACGGCCCAGAGUCCUACGGGAGGCAGCAGUGGUGAAUAUUGCACAAUGGGCGCAAGCCUGAUGCAGCGACGCCGCGUGAGGGAUGACGGCCUUCGGGUUGUAAACCUCUUUCAGCACAGACGAAGCGCAAGUGACGGUAUGUGCAGAAGAAGGACCGGCCAACUACGUGCCAGCAGCCGCGGUAA